AUGUACAAGAGAAUAGGAUUUCAUCCAUGAACUUUUAGAAAGCGUCGGGCAUUGAAUGGCUUCAGAGUACCCUACCCCUUCCAUUUACCGGGCGAUUGGUUUCCCUGUCUGUUUCACUUGAAGUCUACUAUUUUAAGCCCACACUUUUGAGAAGAAGGAAUCCCAAACACGCCCUUCGUCUCGCAGGUCAGUUUUCUGUAACCCUAAUUUUUCUAUUAAUGGUGAACGGCAUACUGCAAUGGAUUCGAAGGGUAUUCAGAUUGAAGCCAUCUCAGAUUAAACUCGCAAUAACGAGGACAGUGAUUUGUUUUCAUUUUAGGUAUGUUUUUGCAGUUUGAUGCUCUAAUUGGUAUUAUGUUAUUUCAAUUAUUCGCCCCAAUCCUCAAAAUUUCCUUUUGAAUUCGCUUGCUUUCCUCUGUUUCGGUUGAUUAAUUGAACACCCGUUUCGAUUUCACAGUGUUUGUUUCGAAUUUUGAGUUUUGCCUAUUAGGGUUUUAGCAUGAUAAUCAAGAGGAAGUUGAAAUUGGCAAUGCUAAUUUAAUCAAGUGCAGUUUUCCCGAUUGUGGUUCAAAGCAAGCUUCAUUGCGGAAGAUAAUCAACCGAUGCCGACCGUAAUCGUCGAAGAACUUCAACUAAUUUAGCAUAAAUUUUCCUUUUCCAUUACCUGUUUGACAUCAACUGUCUUCGACUGCUGAAUUUAUACGCAAAGCAAAACUGUCACAAACCAUGGUGGAAGGAAUCAAUGGAUAAGGUACUUCCCACAAGGACACAGUGAACAGUAAAAAAAAACAAGAAGGCGUACCCGUUCUUCUCAUACAGGUCAUUCACGUGAUACCGCAAAAUGGGUGGAUCCAGACAAGGCAAGCUCAUCGAGAUAGUCCUACACCAAUACUUCUAUCAGGUUAAGUUAUGCUUUCUUGUUUGAACUUGUGUUUUUUCUUCUAGCUCAAUUAAACAAAUUUGGACCCAAGUAUGCUGUUUUAAAAGUAUGCAUAGCAACUGCUCGAUAAAAUAUCUGUGUGAGAAUUGCAUAAAUACAAAAAAGUAGAAAGGUUGCAGUUCGAGAAGAAUCAAAAUUCUAAUCCAUAUACUCUUUUUUUAGCUGAAAUAAUUAAUAUGGUUUUCUUAUUUGAUUCGAUUUAUUUUAGUAUUUCUCGACAUAAUUCAACCAAGAUACGAUCAAAAUCGGCUGCAAUGGAUAGGGCCAGAAGUAGUUAGUGAAGAUUGCGAGCUCUUAUUCGCUUCUUAACGGAACUCACUAUUAUAUGUGCUGGAUAUAAGCAACUCAGUCUUCUGGCAUCAAUCAACAGAAGCAGUCACUUUAGUUGGGGCCUGAUGAUCAUCUCUAUCUGGAAGGAUUUGCAUCAAAUGUCUUUGCAAAGGCCGAUAAGCAAGACCGGCUGGAAGAGCUGACAUGUAUGAUAUGCUCUACUUCUUAUGAUAUAGUUAUUGUAACAUUGGCUUACUAAAGAUUUAGCACACUAAGAAUGAUUUAAUGUGCUUAAAAAGGCUUCCAAAUUCAUAUGCCAUGGGCUCGUACAUAUAAGAAACUCUCUCUUUUUUAGCAAUUCCUCAUGAAAAACAACCGCCGCCUCUGGUUGAAGUUUAACAUUGGAGUUCAUAAUGUUUUUUGCUAUUCAAGGGUUUAUUGAUCAAUAGCUUUUCGGAUGUAUUUUUGCUAAGAUGUUAUGGACAUAGUAGGCUAUUACCAAUGUU
rnacentral:lncRNA from 1 species